AUAGAGACUCAGAGCUGCAUAUCAAUAAGCGGAGGAAAAGAAACUAACAAGGAUUCCCUUAGUAACGGCGAGUGAAAGCGGGAAGAGCUCAAAUUUGAAAUCUUCAAGGUUCUACCUUGACGAAUUGUAGUUUAUAGAAGUGUUUUCUGUUAGUAGAGUGGCAAAAGUUCUUUGGAAUAGGACAUCAUAGAGGGUGAGAAUCCCGUAUUUGGUACCAUUCUUUCUAGCUUUGUGAUACACUUUCAACGAGUCGGAUUGUUUGGGAAUGCAGUCCAAAAUGGGUGGUAAAUUUCAUCUAAAGCUAAAUAUUGGCGAGAGACCGAUAGCGAACAAGUACCGUGAGGGAAAGAUGAAAAGAACUUUGAAAAGAGAGUUAAACAGUACGUGAAAUUGUCAAAAGGGAAGCGUUUGACACCAGUGUUGUUUUUCCGAAAAUCAAUUAAGAAUGUUUUAUUUUUGAGGAGUUAUGACUUCAUCGGCUUGCUCCUUUCUUUAUGGAACUUUCUUAAUGCACUUUUCGGUUAACAAGUCAACAUCAAUUUCUUUUGUUGUAAAAGAGUAUGAGGAAGGUGGCUUUCUUUUCGGAGAAAGUGUUUAUAGCCUUGUACUUCUGCAAUCGGAGAGAUUGAGGUCUGCAGCGUAGAUCCUUCGGGGUUAGAUACAUUGGUGCUAAGCUAUAGCCUUGUAUAGACAACUUGUUGACUAUGCUCAGUCAUGUAGCUUACUCGCUUGUGCUAUUUUACCUACGCUUAGGAUGUUGACGAGACUGUCGAUCUC
rnacentral:rRNA from 1 species